AUUUGGCUGAGGGGAGAUCAAAAGGGGAACUGAGAAUUGCAAGUAUUUAUUUUUUCAUACUCAAGAAAAGAAAAGACUAUUCUUGGCCACAUUCCCAAGUUAUGAACAAGUAACUACUGUUAAUUCAAGAUAACUUCCUAUCAGGACUCAUGCUCUGAAAACCAGCCAAACAGCUAGCGCCUCACUCUCGUGGACUUGCUUCUGGAAAUCAGCCGGUCAACAGCCUCAUUCUAAGCAUCUGAGAGUGAGCACAUUAACAGCCCCGAGCUUCUGAAAGCCAAUCAGUGACAAACCCCCAAUCCUGCCAGUCAGCCGUCUAUGACAGCCGGUGCUUCUAGACAACAGCCAAUCAGAAAGUGCCCCACCCCAGGAGUCAAGAGAGCCCUCCUCCAGUGACCACGCUAAUACAGCUGAAAAUCCUUCAAUCUCUACACGCUCCUGCUUCUGAAAAUCCCCCAAUCCCGGAAUGUCAAGCUUCUCAAAACCUUAUAAAUUCAGAUGAAGAUAAAAUAAACACAGCAGAAGGUGUAGCGGCCUUCCACAGUCUGUCUUUCAGCUUGAAUAACUGUUUAAAUGUCCUGCUACCAGAAGUAUCUUCUGAUUUGAAAACUGCAAGCAAAUAUUCAGUGCCAGGACAAAAUCUACAGCAAUAAUAAAAAGUGUAAUAGCUGCAUUUACUACUACAGAUUAUCAAAGAUCUAAAUGCCUCCUGAUCUUUUUGCAGCAUAGCCACAGAUGCAAAUAAUCACAAUCAGAAAAAAUGUUCCUUUUGCUUGUGCAGUAUUUUUUUUCUGAAAAAGUCUUGCUUAGGAAGGCAUUGUGAGUCAAAUCUCUUCUGGGUAAGACUAUAGAAAUAUUAGCAAAUUUUAGCAAGGACUCUCUUAUCAGCUAGGAGUUAAUGAGAUCAAUUGUAUUGCUUUUAAUGUGGACCAUGCAGACAUUUGCAUAAGGGUACAGAAAAAGUUUAUGCAAAGUCGAAGCAAGGCAUGAAUGAUUCCAUAGAAAGUCUUGGCUGUCUGUCCAUAUUCUGCAUGCUGCUGCUCAAAUAGCAUAUGAUGUUCUUUCUGUUGACACUGUCAUGACAUUGUUAUGAAGUUUUUCUCUUACUUCAGCAUUUAUGCUUACCAGCAGCAUUAUACUGUUUGUACUGAGCAAUUUAAAAAUUUUAUGGUUUUGUUGGCAUUAUUCAAUUCUCUCAAAACGUCUGCUGGCUCUAACAAAUAAAUUUGGAGGAAUCCUUGGUUUAUCACUUAAAGUAUGAAAUCUUACGAAGAAAAGAACCCCAAGAUUCUUGCUGAGUUUUUAAUAAUCUAUUAAGUGAAGCCUAUUUACUUCUUGUUUACAGUUUUCAAUCACUUUAGCAAAAGGAUUAUACAAAUCAAAAGAACAACAAUGCUUUCGAAGUACUGCCUUGUUUAAAGGAAAUUGUUGAAUAUAUUAAAGAAAGAAUUGAAAAAUUUAUCCCUUUCAUUAUCAAGGCUGUUCUUAAAAGAGGCAAUAGUACUUUCAAACAGGAAAAGAAAUUCCAACUUGAAAUAGAUAAUUACUAUUGUAAUUGUUAUAAUUAGGUUUUGAAAUUGACAUCAUCCUUUGAAAAAUUUGAUUCUUUUACUGGCUGUUACUAAAUAUUCUUCCAGGAUAGGAACUAGUGGAAUCACGUGUAUUGUUGGAGAAGAAGGAAGUAAAAAUGGACAACAAUCCUCUUCCGUAUCAAUGGACAACAUUUAAAAAAGUUAUUGAUCAAGAGAUGCAACAUAAUCUUCAAGAAUAGAAAAGCAAGUUAUGGCAUGAAAGAUGGUAUGUGCUUCAAGAAAUGAAAUUUGAAGAGCAAUUAUCAGAAUUUUAGCUUUAUGCCAGGAUGUGUUUAGCUUACUGGUUUAUAAUGCUACUAUUGAGCAUAUUUUCUCAUUGAUGAAGGUUAGAUGGACAAAAAAAACAAAAUAAGUUGAAUGCAACCACUGUGGAUAUGUUACAAUGUAGGUGGAAUAUGGACUGUAACCACAGGAAUUUUAUUAGCAAAUUAGGUGAAGCAAGGAGCUGUUAAGGACAGCCAUGUCAUCAGAAAAAUAAAAUUAAAGAAAGUGGCAUGUAGUUUCGAUGGUUAUAAUUUACUUCAGACAAAUAACACACAUUUUUAAAGUAUGUCCCGUGCAAUAUUUUUCACUUAUCUAAAUGUAUAUAUGCAUAGGUAAUUAGGAAUAAAUCAAAUUUAACUGGG
rnacentral:lncRNA from 1 species